rnacentral:rRNA from 1 species
GCAGUCGUACGAUGAUCCCAGCUUGCUGGGGGAUUAGUGGCGAACGGGUGAGUAACACGUGAGUAACCUGCCCUUGACUCUGGGAUAAGCCUGGGAAACUGGGUCUAAUACCGGAUACGACCAUCUGGCGCAUGUCAUGGUGGUGGAAAGCUUUUGUGGUUUUGGAUGGACUCGCGGCCUAUCAGCUUGUUGGUGGGGUAAUGGCCUACCAAGGCGACGACGGGUAGCCGGCCUGAGAGGGUGACCGGCCACACUGGGACUGAGACACGGCCCAGACUCCUACGGGAGGCAGCAGUGGGGAAUAUUGCACAAUGGGCGCAAGCCUGAUGCAGCGACGCCGCGUGAGGGAUGACGGCCUUCGGGUUGUAAACCUCUUUCAGUAGGGAAGAAGCGAAAGUGACGGUACCUGCAGAAGAAGCGCCGGCUAACUACGUGCCAGCAGCCGCGGUAAUACGUAGGGCGCAAGCGUUAUCCGGAAUUAUUGGGCGUAAAGAGCUCGUAGGCGGUUUGUCGCGUCUGCUGUGAAAGACCGGGGCUCAACUCCGGUUCUGCAGUGGGUACGGGCAGACUAGAGUGCAGUAGGGGAGACUGGAAUUCCUGGUGUAGCGGUGAAAUGCGCAGAUAUCAGGAGGAACACCGAUGGCGAAGGCAGGUCUCUGGGCUGUAACUGACGCUGAGGAGCGAAAGCAUGGGGAGCGAACAGGAUUAGAUACCCUGGUAGUCCAUGCCGUAAACGUUGGGCACUAGGUGUGGGGGACAUUCCACGUUUUCCGCGCCGUAGCUAACGCAUUAAGUGCCCCGCCUGGGGAGUACGGCCGCAAGGCUAAAACUCAAAGGAAUUGACGGGGGCCCGCACAAGCGGCGGAGCAUGCGGAUUAAUUCGAUGCAACGCGAAGAACCUUACCAAGGCUUGACAUGAACCGGAAAGACCUGGAAACAGGUGCCCCGCUUGCGGUCGGUUUACAGGUGGUGCAUGGUUGUCGUCAG